rnacentral:rRNA from 1 species
GACGAACGCUGGCGGCGUGCCUAACACAUGCAAGUCGAACGGACGAGGAGAAGCUUGCUUCUCCAAGUUAGUGGCGGACGGGUGAGUAACGCAUGAGCAACCUGCCUCAAAGAGGGGGAUAACAUUCUGAAAAGGAUGCUAAUACCGCAUGAAAUCACGGGAAGACAUCUUCCUGUGAUCAAAGGAGCAAUCCGCUUUGAGAUGGGCUCGCGUCCGAUUAGGUAGUUGGUGAGGUAACGGCUCACCAAGCCGACGAUCGGUAGCCGGACUGAGAGGUUGAACGGCCACAUUGGGACUGAGACACGGCCCAG